rnacentral:tRNA from 2 species
GGUCCAGUGGUGGAACUGGUAUACACGCGACACUUAAAAUGUCGUGCUUUAGGGCAUGUGGGUUCGAGUCCCACCUGGACCA